GCGGCAUUCCAAGAUAGUUUUUCUAGUUGGAGGUUGGAAAUUUCCCAGUUCCGAGUUGCUUGGAACGCAGCAUUAGUAAGAUGGGACAAACAUUUCUUCAAUGGCUGAUCUGUAAGAACGAUCUGUUCUGUCCAGAUUUUUGUUAUUAUGCUACUAGCAAGUGUGCAGAGUUUCUUUGCUCUCCCUCUGCUUCCUGAUCUGUCCCUGAGUGGUUGGUGUUUGUAGCCCCAGCACUGUUAGGAACCCUCUAGGAAGCCCCUCCUGCCCUGUGACUGGUGUUUGUUGUGCCUUCAUGGCCCAUCUCACGGGUGUUUAUAUUUUUAGAGCAGGGUGCUAUCUUGUUGGGAGGGUAGGUACCCUGGCAAGGUCCCUUCACUUUUUUGCAGCACUUCCAGCUUCCAGUUUGUUUAUUACUCUUGCUUCAUUAAAAAUAAACACAUUUGGUAUUUUGAAACACA